UUCGAUUAAGCCAUGCGAGUUAAAUGUUCUUCGUGAACAUAGCAGACUGCUCAGUAACACGUGGAUAACCUGCCCUUAGGACUGGCAUAACCCCGGGAAACUGGGGAUAAUUCCGGAUAGAUCAUAAAUGCUGGAAUGCUUUAUGAUUGAAAGGUUUCGACCGCCUUAGGAUGGAUCUGCGGCCUAUCAGGUUGUAGUGGGUGUAAUGUACCUACUAGCCUACGACGGGUACGGGUUGUGGAAGCAAGAGCCCGGAGAUGGAUUCUGAGACAUGAAUCCAGGCCCUACGGGGCGCAGCAGGCGCGAAAACUUUACAAUGCGGGAAACCGUGAUAAGGGAACACUGAGUGCUAGCAUUUAUGUUAGCUGUCCACAUGUGUAAAUAGCAUGUGAUAGCAAGGGCUGGGCAAGACCGGUGCCAGCCGCCGCGGUAACACCGGCAGCCCGAGUGGUGAUCACUAUUAUUGGGUCUAAAGGGUCCGUAGCCGGUUUAAUCAGUCUUCUGGGAAAUCUAAUCGCUUAACUAUUAGGCUUCCAGGGGAUACUGUUAGACUUGGGACCGGGAGAGGUAAGAGGUACUGCAGGGGUAGGAGUGAAAUCUUGUAAUCCCUGUGAGACCACCAGUGGCGAAGGCGUCUUACCAGAACGGGUCCGACGGUGAGGGACGAAAGCUGGGGGCACGAACCGGAUUAGAUACCCGGGUAGUCCCAGCUGUAAACGAUGCUCGUUAGGUGUCAGGAACGGUGCGACUGUUUCUGGUGCCGACC
rnacentral:rRNA from 1 species